rnacentral:rRNA from 1 species
UUACACUUCGGGGUUGUAGGACUGCGACGUGGGACUUUAAAAGGAUAGAAGAAUUACCUGGGAAGGUAAGCCAAAGAGAGUAAAAGCCUCGUAUUUAAAAUUCUUUUGAGCCCUAGCAGUAUCCUGAGUACGGCGAGACACGUGAAAUCUCGUUGGAAUCUGGGAGGACCAUCUCCCAACCCUAAAUACUCUCUAGUGACCGAUAGUGAACCAGUACCGUGAGGGAAAGGUGAAAAGCACCCCGGGAGGGGAGUGAAAUAGAACCUGAAACCGUGUGCCUACAACAAGUUCGAGCCCGUUAAUGGGUGAGAGCGUGCCUUUUGUAGAAUGAACCGGCGAGUUACGAUAUGAUGCGAGGUUAAGUUGAAGAGACGGAGCCGUAGGGAAACCGAGUCUUAAUAGGGCGAUUUAGUAUCAUGUUGUAGACCCGAAACCAUGUGACCUACCCAUGAGCAGGUUGAAGGUGAGGUAAAACUCACUGGAGGACCGAACCAGGGCACGUUGAAAAGUGCUUGGAUGACUUGUGGGUAGCGGAGAAAUUCCAAACGAACUUGGAGAUAGCUGGUUCUCUCCGAAAUAGCUUUAGGGCUAGCGUCGAUGUUAAGUCUCUUGGAGGUAGAGCACUGUUUGGGUGAGGGGUCCAUCUCGGAUUACCAAUCUCAGAUAAACUCCGAAUGCCAACGAGAUAUCAUCGGCAGUCAGACUGCGAGUGCUAAGAUCCGUAGUCGAAAGGGAAACAGCCCAGACCACCAGCUAAGGUCCCAAAAUAACUGUUAAGUGGAAAAGGAUGUGGGGUUGCACAGACAACUAGGAUGUUAGCUUAGAAGCAGCUAUUCAUUCAAAGAG